UUCGAUUCUGUAUAAAAAGUUGUUGUUGUUGGAAAGCUUUCGAACAGGGAUGUCAAAGCGUAGAAGUUUAUCAAAUUCGCUACGUUUUUUUUCAAUUCCGCUUCCAUUUUUAGGCAAAUCAUCAAAAAUGUCUUACAAAAGGUAUCUAUUCUCAAAAUUUCGCUUCGUUAUAUGACCUUAUUAUGUUAUUACAGGGAUAUUGUUCGUACAAUUGCUGCAUUCAGGUGAUUCACAUAAUCAGCAUUUAUCACAGCCGGAAGAAGCCAUCGAUUCUGUUCGAAAAGGGCUAAAGCCUGAAAAAUGAUUAACAACAUGUUGCAGUAGCAGUGAUGGUUUAUCGUUAACGCCUCGUAGGCUGUUCCUGAAAGUUGAACGAAUGCAUCGGAAGGUCCGAGGUAUAGUCAACAUUUUUAUUUGCACUUGAGAGCUUGACGGCUUAAUUUACUCUGAUAAAAAUGAAGCUCUUAAGGACAGUAGACGAUUUUUCUUCAAAGCCCGUAUCGGACAGGAUGUUCAGCAGAAGAUGCGCCGCAGGCAUACACUUUUUUAUAUGUUCCUCGAACAUAAUACAUCACAACGAGCAGCAACGUGGUCGCUACCGCCAAAGUAUUAGUCAAAGAAUAUAAGGGAAAAUCUCUUCAAAAAUCCAGCUAUCCGGAAGACAGCUGGAGCUUGAAACCAAAGGAUUGAUUUAUCCACCGGCAUAAUGGAACAGGUACACCCAUCCGAAAUCACUUCAGUGUGUCAAUCGAGAGAUUGCCAGUAGAACCUGUUGAAUGCCAUAAGAAUCUGCCCGCUUGAGGGUAGCAGCCGUUUCAUCAUGGGCAGCUCAUCAGAAAUGUACAAAAGAUACGCGACACACCCAGGUGGCUGGAUCGUGCUGAGCUCAAUUAGUCUCUAAUACUUGGUACAAACGUACGGCCCAAGUUGCCCUGAACAGCAGAAAUCAGCAUCCGAAAACAUCCAACUUUGUGGUGGAAAACAUUCUUCAACGACAAUCGCCACGGAUCUGAACUGACG